rnacentral:rRNA from 1 species
AUUGAACGCUGGCGGAAUGCUUUACACAUGCAAGUCGAACGGCAGCACGGGGGCAACCCUGGUGGCGAGUGGCGAACGGGUGAGUAAUACAUCGGAACGUGCCCAGUCGUGGGGGAUAACGUAGCGAAAGCUACGCUAAUACCGCAUACGAUCUCUGGAUGAAAGCGGGGGACCGCAAGGCCUCGCGCGAUUGGAGCGGCCGAUGGCAGAUUAGGUAGUUGGUGGGGUAAAGGCUCACCAAGCCGACGAUCUGUAGCUGGUCUGAGAGGACGACCAGCCACACUGGAACUGAGACACGGUCCAGACUCCUACGGGAGGCAGCAGUGGGGAAUUUUGGACAAUGGGCGCAAGCCUGAUCCAGCCAUUCCGCGUGCAGGAUGAAGGCCUUCGGGUUGUAACUGCUUUUGUACGGAACGAAACGGCGAGCUCUAAUACAGUUUGCUAAUGACGGUACCGUAAGAAUAAGCACCGGCUAACUACGUAGCCAGCAGCCGC